rnacentral:rRNA from 1 species
UACGAAGGGGGCUAGCGUUGUUCGGAAUUACUGGGCGUAAAGCGCACGUAGGCGGCUUUGUAAGUUAGAGGUGAAAGCCCGGGGCUCAACUCCGGAAUUGCCUUUAAGACUGCAUCGCUAGAAUUGUGGAGAGGUAAGUGGAAUUCCGAGUGUAGAGGUGAAAUUCGUAGAUAUCGGGAGGAACACCAGUGGCGAAGGCGGCGACCUGGGCCAAUACUGACGCUGAGGUGCGAAAGCGUGGGGAGCAAACAGG